AAAUAUGUAUCAUGAGCACAAGGGCUAUAGCUCAGUUAGCGAGAAGGUCUA
rnacentral:tRNA from 1 species